rnacentral:rRNA from 1 species
UACGUAGGGGGGCAAGCGUUGUCCGGAUUUAUUGGGCGUAAAGAGCGUGUAGGCGGCCUUACAGGGUCAGCUGUGAAAACUCGAGGCUCAACCUCGAGACGUCGGUUGAAACCGUAAGGCUAGAGUCCGGAAGAGGAGAGUGGAAUUCCCGGUGUAGCGGUGAAAUGCGCAGAUAUCGGGAAGAACACCCGUGGCGAAGGCGGCCCUCUGGGACGGUACUGACGCUGAGACGCGAAAGCGUGGGGAGCGAACAGG